GACGUACGCUGGCGGCGUGCUUAACACAUGCAAGUCGAACGGAAAGGCCCUGCUUUUGUGGGGUGCUCGAGUGGCGAACGGGUGAGUAACACGUGAGUAACCUGCCCUUGACUUUGGGAUAACUUCAGGAAACUGGGGCUAAUACCGGAUAGGAGCUCCUGCUGCAUGGUGGGGGUUGGAAAGUUUCGGCGGUUGGGGAUGGACUCGCGGCUUAUCAGCUUGUUGGUGGGGUAGUGGCUUACCAAGGCUUUGACGGGUAGCCGGCCUGAGAGGGUGACCGGCCACAUUGGGACUGAGAUACGGCCCAGACUCCUACGGGAGGCAGCAGUGGGGAAUAUUGCACAAUGGGCGGAAGCCUGAUGCAGCAACGCCGCGUGCGGGAUGACGGCCUUCGGGUUGUAAACCGCUUUCGCCUGUGACGAAGCGUGAGUGACGGUACUGGGUAAAGAAGCACCGGCUAACUACGUG
rnacentral:rRNA from 1 species